AUAUUACUCAGCGGAGGAAAAGAAAACAACCGUGAUUCCCUCAGUCAGCGGCGAGCGAAGAGGGACCGAACUCGUUGCCGAAUCGGGCCUCAACGGCCUUGAGUUGUGGCAGACGGCGGUCGGUGGAUGGUGCGGGACUGGCGAAAUUCAAUGUGCAAAGCAAACCCUGCUGAACACAACCCUUCAUGUGAGUAUUGAGCCAUAGAAGGUGGUAGCCCAUUGAGCCAGGAACCCGAGCGCCUCAUUGGCCGUCCUCGAGCGAGUAGCACUGCUUGGGAAUGCAGUGUCAAGCGGCAGGUAUUUGUCUGCCAAGGUUAAACACAGAGUGGGAAGACCGAUAUCGAACAAGUAGCGUGAGCGAAAGUUUGAAAAGCACUUUGGAAAGAGAGUGACAUAGAACCUGAAGUCGUGACAAUGACAAUGGAAGUACCUCCAUUUCCCUGGCCAAAACCCGCCCGCGAGCAUUCUGUCCGGCGGGCCCUGCGGGACCCGACCGGGAAACAUCAAGUGCCGAACCGGGCCAUGGGUGCAAUGAGCGGAGAGAAAGUUGAGAGCACCGCGUUUUCAGUAACGUGGCGAGCCUCGUCUUCUCCGUGAUACUCGAUGUUGGCAAACUACCGAAAUGGGGUGCCUUCA
rnacentral:rRNA from 1 species